CCCUUAGAUGCUCUGGGCCGCACGCGCGCUACACUGGUCGAUGCAACGAGUUUCUUUCCUUGGCCGACAGGCCUGGGCAAUCUUUGAACAUCGAUCGUGAUCGGGAUAGAUUCUUGUAAUUUUUGAUCUUAAACGAGGAAUUCCUAGUAAACGCAAGUCAUCAGCUUGCAUUGAUUACGUCCCUGCCCUUUGUACACACCGCCCGUCGCACCUACCGAUUGAAUGGUCCGGUGAAAUCUCCGGACUGGCGUGAGUCGGAGCAAUCUGACAAACGCCGGAAAGUUGAUUAAACCUUACCAUUUAGAGGAAGGUGAAGUCGCAACA
rnacentral:rRNA from 1 species